rnacentral:rRNA from 1 species
CCUACGGGAGGCAGCAGUGGGGAAUAUUGGGCAAUGGGCGCAAGCCUGACCCAGCAACGCCGCGUGAAGGAAGAAGGCUUUCCGGUUGUAAACUUCUUUUAAGAGGGAAGAGCAGAAGACGGUACCUCUUGAAUAAGCCACGGCUAACUACGUGCCAGCAGCCGCGGUAAUACGUAGGUGGCAAGCGUUGUCCGGAUUUACUGGGGGUAAAGGGCGUGCAGCCGGGAUGACAAGUCAGAUGUGAAAUCCCGCGGCUCAACCGCGGAACUGCAUUUGAAACUGUUUUUCUUGAGUACCGGAGAGGUCAUCGGAAUGCCUGGUGUAGCGGUGAAAUGCGUAGAUAUAAGGAAGAACACCAGUGGCGAAGGCGGAUGACUGGACGGCAACUGACGGUGAGGCGCGAAAGCGUGGGGAGCAAACAGGAUUAGAUACCCCUGUAGUC